rnacentral:rRNA from 1 species
GACGAACGCUGGCGGCGUGCCUAAUACAUGCAAGUAGAACGCUGAAGGAGGAGCUUGCUCUUCUGGAUGAGUUGCGAACGGGUGAGUAACGCGUAGGUAACCUGCCUGGUAGCGGGGGAUAACUAUUGGAAACGAUAGCUAAUACCGCAUAAUAUUGACUAUUGCAUGAUAGUCAAUUGAAAGGUGCAAAUGCACCACUACCAGAUGGACCUGCGUUGUAUUAGCUAGUUGGUGGGGUAACGGCUCACCAAGGCGACGAUACAUAGCCGACCUGAGAGGGUGAUCGGCCACACUGGGACUGAGACACGGCCCAGACUCCUACGGGAGGCAGCAGUAGGGAAUCUUCGGCAAUGGACGGAAGUCUGACCGAGCAACGCCGCGUGAGUGAAGAAGGUUUUCGGAUUGUAAAGCUCUGUUGUAAGAGAAGAACGAGUGUGAGAGUGGAAAGUUCACACUGUGACGGUAUCUACCAGAAAGACG